UUGGUGCCGUUCGGGAACUCUGACACAGGUGCUGCAUGGCUGUCGUCAGCUCGUGUCGUGAGAUGGUUGGGUUAACGUCCCGUAACGAGCGCAACCCUUGUCCUUAGUUACCAGCACGUUAUGGUGGGCACUCUAAGGAGACUGCCGGUGACAAACCGGAGGAAGGUGGGGAUGACGUCAAGUCAUCAUGGCCCUUACGGCCUGGGCUACACACGUGCUACAAUGGUCGGUACAAAGGGUUGCCAAGCCGCGAGGUGGAGCUAAUCCCAUAAAACCGAUCGUAGUCCGGAUCGCAGUCUGCAACUCGACUGCGUGAAGUCGGAAUCGCUAGUAAUCGUGAAUCAGAAUGUCACGGUGAAUACGUUCCCGGGCCUU
rnacentral:rRNA from 1 species